rnacentral:rRNA from 1 species
GUGGGGAAUAUUGGACAAUGGGGGGAACCCUGAUCCAGCCAUGCCGCGUGUAUGAAGAAGGCCUUUUGGUUGUAAAGCACUUUAAGCGAGGAGGAGGCUACCGAGAUUAAUACUCUUGGAUAGUGGACGUUACUCGCAGAAUAAGCACCGGCUAACUCUGUGCCAGCAGCCGCGGUAAUACAGAGGGUGCAAGCGUUAAUCGGAUUUACUGGGCGUAAAGCGCGCGUAGGUGGCCAAUUAAGUCAAAUGUGAAAUCCCCGAGCUUAACUUGGGAAUUGCAUUCGAUACUGGUUGGCUAGAGUAUGGGAGAGGAUGGUAGAAUUCCAGGUGUAGCGGUGAAAUGCGUAGAGAUCUGGAGGAAUACCGAUGGCGAAGGCAGCCAUCUGGCCUAAUACUGACACUGAGGUGCGAAAGCAUGGGGAGCAAACAGGAUUAGAUACCCCUGUAGUCC